rnacentral:rRNA from 1 species
UACAGAGGGUGCUAGCGUUGUUCGGAAUCAUUGGGCGUAAAGGGCGUGUAGGCGGUUUGUUAAGUCAUGUGUGAAAUCCCUCGGCUCAACCGGGGAACGACGCAUGAAACUGGCAAGCUAGAGUACCAAAGAGGGGGGGUGGAAUUCCCGGUGUAGCGGUGAAAUGCGUAGAUAUCUGGAGGAACACCGGUGGCGAAGGCGGCAUCCUGGACCAACACUGACGCUGAGGAGCGAAAGCCAGGGGAGCAAACGGG